CUGCCUCUUUAUGUUGUCUGAUUCAUAAAGCAAAAAUUAAAAGCCUGCCUUUGACAACUUAAUUAGCUAGCUAGGUUUAUUGGAUUUGCUGUUUCCUCUCGUCGAUCGAGCAGCUCUCUUCUCAUCUUCAUCAAAAACCAUCACUCUCUCAUCAAAACACCAUGGGUCUCUCAUGAAAACACAUCUCGAUUAGGACUCGACUGCACUCAUCCUUCACUGCACUCAUCGAUUAUGAUUUCGAUCCCUCUUCUUAUUCGUGUCUAUCUCUCAAAAGCCAACCCAUUUCCUCUCUCAUCUCCCCUGACCUGCAAACCAAAAAGGAAGAAGCUCGAAGUUUUGAUUCUAAGCAACAUCACCACGAAGAUCGGGAAGAGACGCUCUUCAUUCCUCUCUUCAAUUGAACUACUUUUGGUGGAACGGUUCAGAUCAUCGUCGUCGUCCACCUCCAGCAGCUCUCACUACCUCUCCAAGUGACUCCUCUGAGGCACCGUCGUUCUCCAGGUCCUCUACGGUCACAUUCGGUUCCCCAACUCCGACCACGUCGUUUUCGGAGAAAUCGAUAGAAUUGGUGAUAAUUGGUGAAGUUGGGGGAUGGUACAGUCUGUAUGUGAUCAGCAGCCUGUGUUUGGCACCAUUAAAGACAUUGCCGUCCUACCAUGGAAUGACAGAUUCCGAACUCGAAACCGCCAGGGUUUGUAGGCUUGCAGUUGGUAAUGGCUUGGUCUGGUUGAGUGUGCUGAAUAGUUGAAAGCAUUUUCUACCGCUAAAUCUGCAGGUUAGUCCUGUGAUCUGAUAUUCAUUUUGUACGAAAGAUGCUAUUGUAUCUAAAUCUGGUGGAUGGUACUUCUAAAAUUCGAGGGUACAUUCCUUAUAACAGUUAUAUUAACUUGGCUGGAAACAUCUAACUAUUUCGUUGUCACUGCAGCUCCAUAAUGAAAACAAUGAUUAUGACAGAGACAAAGAACUAGAUUGACUAUUUUAAACGUGUUAGCUUCAAGGGCAAGGGUUUAGGCUUAUAUUAUAACCUUUGACAUAUCUCUCCCACUAUUACCUAAAGCCUCUUUCCUUGGUGAUUAUCAUCUACAUAUGAUUAUCUCAUUUAUAGAUAAUUGUGCAGCUGUACAUAUUAAUCUCUUUGUAUUUUGUUAUCACUUUAGUGAUUAAGUUCUACUACAAUUGUAACUUCUGUAUGCAUAUCAAUAUAAAUAUAGUCACUUGACUCAGUUUUUUGUGUGUUAUUAUGUCCAUGCCUCAUUCACCAAAAUGAUUCACUAAUCCUUUUGAUAUAAUAAACUGAUUUCAAUGGGAGAGGAGAGGCAGCAGCCAAUACACCCAAGCGGAUAUUGAUCAAGUGCGAAAUGAGUGGGGAAAGUUUGUUGUCAACACAUAUGUGCAUGAGUCAUGAAGUAGCACGCUUGUUGCUGGGAGGAAUCAAAGUUCUAAGAACAACAAAUCUGGGUUGAAAUUUGCUUCUGAUUCUAAAAGUGGGUAUCGAAAGAAAAUCGAAUGUUAAUGCUGUAGGAUACCAUUACCCUUUUGUUGAACUUCAGUUGGGUUGUUGUUUUGCCAUGUGGUUCCCGCAAACCUACCAAGCCUUACAAUUAAGUUGGAGCUUGCAAUAUAUUCUAGUAUGCAGGAUGCUCAACCACGUACAGUUAUUGGAUUGUGGAAAGUCAAUCUGGAAGAACCAAAAUCUCACCUGUCUGAUCCUUCGGUUAUAAUUCAUGAUAUCUCCACAAUCCCACGAGGCAGGAGGCGGAGACAAAGGCAUCAAAAACUAAGGCGUAAGUAUUGUUUGUUAAUUAAUCUCAAUCAAUAUGAUUUUUGAAAGUGAUUUAGAAUCAAAGAAAUUGGAUAUUUUUCAGAUAAAGUACAGCAGUAAUGUUGUGGUACCACUCUCCAGCCUCCUAUAGUCCUACUCCUUCCUAUCUAUAAUAAGCA